GACGAACGCUGGCGGCGUGCUUAACACAUGCAAGUCGAGCGAGGCCCCUCCUUCGGGAGGGUGUCCUAGCGGCGAACGGGUGAGUAACACGUGGGCAACCUGCCCUCAGCUCCGGGAUAACUCCGGGAAACCGGGGCUAAUACCGGAUACGACCUCCACGGGCAUCUGCGGAGGUGGAAAGUUUUUCGGCUGAGGAUGGGCCCGCGGCCUAUCAGCUAGUUGGUGGGGUAGUGGCCCACCAAGGCGACGACGGGUAGCCGGCCUGAGAGGGCGACCGGCCACACUGGGACUGAGACACGGCCCAGACUCCUACGGGAGGCAGCAGUGGGGAAUAUUGCGCAAUGGGCGAAAGCCUGACGCAGCGACGCCGCGUGAGGGACGAAGGCCUUCGGGUUGUAAACCUCUUUCAGCAGGGACGAAGCGAAAGUGACGGUACCUGCAGAAGAAGCACCGGCCAACUACGUG
rnacentral:rRNA from 1 species